AGGACGAACGCUGGCGGCGUGCUUAACACAUGCAAGUCGAGCGGAAAGGCCUUUCGGGGUACUCGAGCGGCGAACGGGUGAGUAACACGUGAGUAAUCUGCCCAUCGCUUCAGGAUAGCCAUCGGAAACGGUGAUUAAUACUGGAUAUGACAUUCCUUCGCAUGUUGGGGUGUGGAAGUUUUUUCGGCGGUGGAUGUGCUCGCGGCCUAUCAGCUUGUUGGUGGGUAAUGGCCUACCAAGGCUUUGACGGGUAGCCGGCCUGAGGAGGGUCGACCGGCCACACGUGGGACUGAGACACGGCCCAGACUCCGUACGGGAGGCAGCAGGUGGGAAUAGUUGGGACAAGUGGGCGGAAGCCGUAGGACUACCAGCCAACGGCCGCGUGGACGGAUCGGACGGCCGUUACGGUUACGUUAAACCUUC
rnacentral:rRNA from 1 species